AUCAAACUGAAUUACAGAACAUCUAAACAUCACAGAGUUUGAUUAUGGGGCUAACAGUCUUUCAGCAGUGCAUUUUUAUACUCAUGUUAACACGAGGUUUUUGCAGUGCUGAGAUCAGACUGGACCAGUCUCCUGCUGUGGUAAAGAGACCUGGAGAAACUGUGAAGAUCUCAUGUAAAAUAAAUGGAUAUUCAAUGACAAGCUACAACAUACACUGGAUCAGACAGAAACCAGGGAAAGCUCUGGAAUGGAUUGGUAGGAUGAGUACAGCCAAUAAUGAAGCAAUAUAUGCAGAGACUUUGAAGAACCAGUUCACCAUGACCGAAGACGUCCCAGCAAGCACACAGUACUUAGAGGCCAAGACUCUGAGGACAGAGGACACCGCGGUUUAUUAGUGCACCCGACAAGCCACAGUGACUGGAGCUGAGGAAGCAGCUGUACUAAAACCACAAUCAUAUUUUUCACACAGGAUUUUAUUGAACAAAUCAUUAGUGUUGUCAUUUAUGUAAGUGAUGAAUAUAAUCCCCUCUUA